CCUACGGAGGGCAGCAGUGGGGAAUAUUGGACAAUGGGGGGAACCCUGAUCCAGCCAUGCCGCGUGUGUGAAGAAGGCCCUCGGGUUGUAAAGCACUUUCAGUGAGGAAGAACGCCUGGUGGUUAAUACCCAUCAGGAAAGACAUCACUCACAGAAGAAGCACCGGCUAACUCCGUGCCAGCAGCCGCGGUAAUACGGAGGGUGCGAGCGUUAAUCGGAAUUACUGGGCGUAAAGCGCGCGUAGGUGGCUUGAUAAGCCGGUUGUGAAAGCCCCGGGCUCAACCUGGGAACGGCAUCCGGAACUGUCAAGCUAGAGUGCAGGAGAGGAAGGUAGAAUUCCCGGUGUAGCGGUGAAAUGCGUAGAGAUCGGGAGGAAUACCAGUGGCGAAGGCGGCCUUCUGGACUGACACUGACACUGAGGUGCGAAAGCGUGGGUAGCAAACAGGAUCAGAUACCCGGGUAGUC
rnacentral:rRNA from 1 species